UACUCCUACGGGAGGCAGCAGUAGGGAAUCUUCCACAAUGGACGAAAGUCUGAUGGAGCAACGCCGCGUGAGUGAAGAAGGGUUUCGGCUCGUAAAACUCUGUUGUUAAAGAAGAACAUAUCUGAGAGUAACUGUUCAGGUAUGACGGUAUAAC
rnacentral:rRNA from 1 species